UAACUUCGGGAAACCGGAGCUAAUACCGGAUAAUAUAUUGAACCGCAUGGUUCAAUAGUGAAAGACGGUUUUGCUGUCACUUAUAGAUGGAUCCGCGCCGCAUUAGCUAGUUGGUAAGGUAACGGCUUACCAAGGCAACGAUGCGUAGCCGACCUGAGAGGGUGAUCGGCCACACUGGAACUGAGACACGGUCCAG
rnacentral:rRNA from 1 species